GAGGGUAUAGCUCAGUGGUAGAGCGUGUGUUUAGCACGCACAAGGCCCUGGGUUCAAUUCCCAGUACCUCCA
rnacentral:tRNA from 1 species